rnacentral:lncRNA from 10 species
AAUUAUAACACCGAUUAUUUAAGGAUGCUUUCUAGUACCAAGUGAAAAACCCAACUGGAACUAGCUUCAACCAAAAAGGCAAUUUGAUGAAAUAUAAUGGAGCAGCUACAGUAUUAAACAUGCAGACUUGGCUGGGCAUGGUGGCUCACACCUGUAAUCCCAGCACUUUGGGAGGCCGAGGCAGGCAGAUCACUUGAGGUCAGGAGUUUGAGACCAGCCUGGCCAACAUGGUGAAACCCCGUCUCUACUAAAAGUAGAAAAAUUAGUCAGGCGUGGUGGUGCAUGCCUGUAAUCCCAGCUGCUCAGGAGGCUGAGGCAGAAGAAUCUCUUGGACCUGGGAGGCGGAGGUUGCAGUGAGCCAAGAUUGUGCCACUGUACUCCAGGCUGGGUAACAAAGCAAGACUCUGUCUGAAGAAAAAAAAAAGAUAAAAAAGAGUCAACAUGUCUCCACACAAU